UACAUGCAGCCGGCAAGCUGCAAUCACGAGAGUGAGAAUGAUAAAAACCCGUAACUGGCUCUCAGCUCUCAGCGUGUGAGAACACAGAGCAGGUCCAGAGAGAUAAAUAACCACCACCUUGGAGCUAGAGAAGAGGCAGAAUUGGAGCACAAAGAAACGUGGCCUUUGAAGUUGCUUGGCUCCUCUCCUGUGAAAAGGAGGCUAGAAUUAAGUAGCAGUGCUACACAGAAACCUUUGGAUAUGGCCAGCAGAGUUCUGGAUGCUUUGGAUAAUCACAAUUUGAGUAUCAUUGAAGAACAUGUAAUGAAACUCAGCCCUUUUAAUUAGAGGUAACAACAAGAGCUCAAAUAAGGCAAUGCAAGUACCACCCAACCUAAGCAGUGGCAGAGCUGGGGCCAGUGGUCCACUGACUCCAUGGUCAGGCUCCUUGUGGCACAGACACUGCCCCUGAGGCCAGCUGGACUCAUGGACUUGGCUCACGCAACUGGUCACAGGCAUUUCUGAAACAGCAAGAUAUUUGCGUUUACCUUCCUAUGGGAGCAAGAGUGCAGAGUCAACAUUUGCACUUACAGUGCUUGUGUCAGAGCACACACUCAUCCUUCCACUAACGCAGUUAACUGCUGAUGGACAUGUAUUAUCUAAAUGCAAGACAAUGGGCAGAACCUGAGCUCUUUCAUGUCUGAGGAUUUCAUUUUGGGAACCAACUGCUCUGACCUCCCAAGGAGUUUCCAAGUCAAAGGUAUGCCAGGCCUGAAGACAGAAAAUUAAGGCAGCCAUCUCUGCAUGAUUCACAUACAUGUAUCACAAAGUUAGUACGUACAAGACCCGUUUCUUGGCAUUCUGGGGCAUGGGAUAGUAUUGGGGCUGUACUGCAUCACUCUGCUUACUUACUUAAUCUUUGGUCACAGAGCAGCAAACCAGCCAGGGGUCAUUUUAAUUCUGAAAUUUAGAAGAAGGAAAUGUGACUCCAAUUAAGUGGUUUGUUCAUGAUCUUUAGAAAGUAAAAGUAAUUGAAGCAAUGAAAUCACUGACUGCACUCUGUGGCUGCGUGGUUCAUUUUGAUUCAGUUCUGCUGCAGCCCAGCCCAUCUGGCUCUGUGGUGUACACCUUCAAGUCCUGGUUACUUCUAUUUUGCUUUAACCCCUGGGGUGUUCAUUGGUAAAGAAUCUACUUGGGAUCCCAAGUCCUUCCCAAGUCUUACCUUUCAACAUUUCACUGAGGAUUCUGUGGUGAUAAAGAAUCACUUUAUAAAAUUUUUUAAUAGCUUUUGUUAAAAAAAAUCAAAUUUAACAAGUGAUUGGUUAAGGUUUUGUUCUUAGGCAGAUAAGUUUUCCAAGAAAUAAGAUCUUCAUCCCUCUACAUCCCCAGCACAGAAAAACAAUGAUAACAACAAAAGCAAAGCACAGCAAAACAAAAAAGAUAUGUUAUCUAAUGGGGCAUUGUUUUCCUUAUCCAGUCAUUUGGGCUGACUUUUUCUAGUUGGGAAGUAUCUGAGUUUACAUACACUUUCACACACACACAUCUAAUGAUGCUUCAAUGUUGCAAAGCUUUUCAGUUGCUCAAAAAUUUUAAGACAUACCAUCCAAAAGAAGGUUGGUUCUACAAUUGAGGAAGACUUGAAGGCAUGGAACAGGAGUCUGGAAGGCCCUGAGGGAAUUAUUCUGAAGAGUUCUCAGAGGCUGGUAAACAGAGUUUCAUGCCUCCUGCAGAGAAUGCUGAGCUACAAGGCAGAACGUCCGGCUCUGUGUAUCAGCGGGAACCUCACCUGCCUACAGACACCUCUCUUGUUGCCUGUGCAUGCUUGAAGCACUCUGUAUCCUUGUCUGUCUCUCUGGUAUCCUUUUCUUCUUUUUCCUCUUGGAAAUAUAUUUACUUAAUAUAUUUUUUAAUUAACAGUUUGAAAUUGUGCAUAUUUACAAGCUAAAGUUUGACCUAUAAAUAAAUAUAUGAUGUGAAAUG